UAUAUAAUCCCUCCGUCCGGAAAUACUUGUUGGAGAAAUGGAUGUAUUUAGACGUAUUUUAGUUCUAUACAUCUAUUUUAUGUAUUUUUCCAACAAGUACUUUCAGACGGAGGGAGUAUUUU
rfam:Triticum aestivum genome assembly, contig: Triticum_aestivum_CS42_TGACv1_scaffold_569571_7AS